GAGUUUGAUUAUGGCUCAGGAUGAACGCUGGCGGCGUGCCUAAUACAUGCAAGUCGAGCGAACAGACGAGGAGCUUGCUCCUCUGACGUUAGCGGCGGACGGGUGAGUAACACGUGGAUAACCUACCUAUAAGACUGGGAUAACUUCGGGAAACCGGAGCUAAUACCGGAUAAUAUAUUGAACCGCAUGGUUCAAUAGUGAAAGACGGUUUUGCUGUCACUUAUAGAUGGAUCCGCGCCGCAUUAGCUAGUUGGUAAGGUAACGGCUUACCAAGGCAACGAUGCGUAGCCGACCUGAGAGGGUGAUCGGCCACACUGGAACUGAGACACGGUCCAGACUCCUACGGGAGGCAGCAGUAGGGAAUCUUCCGCAAUGGGCGAAAGCCUGACGGAGCAACGCCGCGUGAGUGAUGAAGGUCUUCGGAUCGUAAAACUCCGUUAUUAGGGAAGAACAAAUGUGUAAGUAACUAUGCACGUCUUGACGGUACCUAAUCAGAAAGCCACGGCUAACUACGUGCCAGCAGCCGCGGUAAUACGUAGGUGGCAAGCGUUAUCCGGAAUUAUUGGGCGUAAAGCGCGCGUAGGCGGUUUUUUAAGUCUGAUGUGAAAGCCCACGGCUCAACCGUGGAGGGUCAUUGGAAACUGGAAAACUUGAGUGCAGAAGAGGAAAGUGGAAUUCCAUGUGUAGCGGUGAAAUGCGCAGAGAUAUGGAGGAACACCAGUGGCGAAGGCGACUUUCUGGUCUGUAACUGACGCUGAUGUGCGAAAGCGUGGGGAUCAAACAGGAUUAGAUACCCUGGUAGUCCACGCCGUAAACGAUGAGUGCUAAGUGUUAGGGGGUUUCCGCCCCUUAGUGCUGCAGCUAACGCAUUAAGCACUCCGCCUGGGGAGUACGACCGCAAGGUUGAAACUCAAAGGAAUUGACGGGGAC
rnacentral:rRNA from 1 species